rnacentral:rRNA from 1 species
CAGUUCGUACCGUAAGGCGUUCUGUUAAGUCAGAUAACGAACGAGACCCUCAUCCUCAUUUGCUACUCAGGUCUCCGGAUCUGAGGCACUAUGGGGAGACCGCUGGCGCGAAGUCAGAGGAAGGCGAGGGCAACGGUAGGUCAGUAUGCCCCGAAUGUCCUGGGCUACACGCGCGCUACAAAGGAUGGGACAAUGGGAAGCCACGCCGAGAGGCGGAGCUAUCCCGAAACCCAUUCAUAGUUCGGAUUGAGGGCUGUAAGUCGCCCUCAUGAAGCUGGAUUCCGNNNNNNNNNNAGUAAUCGUGUCUCAAAAUGGCACGGUGAAUAUGCCCCUGCUCCUUGCACACACCGCCCGUCAAACCAUCUUAGUUGGGAUUGGGUGAGGCUGCGCUUUAUGGCGCAUUCGAGCCUGGUUUCGACAAGGAGGGUUAAGUCGUAACAAGGUAUCUGUAGGGGAACCUGCAGAUGGAUCACCUCCUAAGAAA